rnacentral:rRNA from 1 species
AUUGAACGCCGGCGGCAUGCUUUACACAUGCAAGUCGAACGGUAACAGGUUAAGCUGACGAGUGGCGAACGGGUGAGUAAUGCAUCGGAACGUGCCCGAUCGUGGGGGAUAACGCAGCGAAAGCUGCGCUAAUACCGCAUACGAUCUGAGGAUGAAAGCGGGGGACCGUAAGGCCUCGCGCGAUCGGAGCGGCCGAUGUCAGAUUAGGUAGUUGGUGGGGUAAAGGCCCACCAAGCCGACGAUCUGUAGCUGGUCUGAGAGGACGACCAGCCACACUGGGACUGAGACACGGCCCAGACUCCUACGGGAGGCGGCAGUGGGGAAUUUUGGACAAUGGGCGAAAGCCUGAUCCAGCAAUGCCGCGUGCAGGAAGAAGGCCUUCGGGUUGUAAACUGCUUUUGUACGGAGCGAAAAGGCCCUUUCUAAUACAAGGGGCUCAUGACGGUACCGUAAGAAUAAGCACCAGCUAACUACGUGCCAGCCGCCGCAGUAAAAC